UAAAGCGUGCGCAGGCGGUUAUGUAAGACAGAUGUGAAAUCCCCGGGCUCAACCUGGGAACUGCAUUUGUGACUGCAUGGCUAGAGUACGGUAGAGGGGGAUGGAAUUCCGCGUGUAGCAGUGAAAUGCGUAGAUAUGCGGAGGAACACCGAUGGCGAAGGCAAUCCCCUGGACCUGUACUGACGCUCAUGCACGAAAGCGUGGGGAGCAAACAGGAUUAGAUACCCGAU
rnacentral:rRNA from 1 species